CAUCCAUCGAGACCGGCAGAGGGACAGGCCCUUUGAAGCCGGGGCAACCCAAGGCGGCGCAAGCCGCGUGAAGGUGCCAAUUCCUGCGGCCCGCCUCAUGGCGUCGGUCGGAAGAUGGUUG
rfam:Lysobacter capsici AZ78 unitig_0_1_merged, whole genome shotgun sequence.